AAUAGCCAAUAAUUCCUUCUCAUACACAGAUAGAACCUCGCUUCUUAGCCCAAAAGCUUUUGAAAUAUAGGCCAAAGGAUGGCCUUGCUGCUAUAGGAUUGCCCCCAUGCCAAAACUAUUAGCAUCUGUUUCAACUAUAAAGGGCUUUAUGAAAUAUGGUAAAGCUAAGACUGGUGCCUCUGCCAUAGCCUUCCUUAGCAACUCAAAGGCAUCUUGAGUGUCCUCAGACCAUUUAAAAGCAUCCUUUUUUAAUAAAUCCGUCAAUGGUUUACUAAUCACACCAUAAUUCUUGACAAAUUUUCUGUAGUAUCCAGUAAGGCCCAAAAAAAAUUCUUGAUUCUUUAACUGAUUGAGGAACAGGCCAAGUUACCAUCACUUUGAUUUUAUCAGGGUCAUUAGCUACUCCACUAGAUAUCACAUGUCCCAAAUAUUCUAUUUCAAACUUCCCAAAGGAAUACUUAAACAACUUAGCAUACAAUUGCUUCUGUUGGAGAAUUUGGAAUACUGUUUCCAAAUGUUUAAGGUGGAGAGAAAAGGUAGGGCUAUGUACAAGUAUAUCAUCAAAGAAAACUAAGACAAAUUUCCUCAAGUAGGGUUGAAAAAUAUUAUAGAAAGUCAAUCACUAUAUUGUUUCUUUGUAUAUUCUGUAUUCUAUAUUCCCAUUUAGGAUUUCUUCCUGAUUAGUAGAACACAAUUAUAGGA
rnacentral:misc_RNA from 1 species